rnacentral:tRNA from 1 species
GAGAGAGGCUCGCAGCAAUGGGAACUGCUAAUUCCCACGACCUUUGGUUGGACCCCCAGGCUCACUCG